UACAGAGGUGGCAAGCGUUGUUCGGAAUUACUGGGCGUAAAGAGUAUGUAGGCGGUGCUCUAAGUUUGGUGUGAAAUCUCCCGGCUUAACCGGGAGUCUGCAUCGAAUACUGGAGUGCUUGAGGGUGGGAGAGGUAAGCGGAAUUCCUGGUGUAGCGGUGAAAUGCGUAGAUAUCAGGAGGAACACCUGUGGUGUAGACAGCUUGCUGGACCAUUUCUGACGCUGAGAUACGAAAGCGUGGGUAGCAAACAGG
rnacentral:rRNA from 1 species